rnacentral:rRNA from 1 species
UGACGGUAUUUAACCAGAAAGUCACGGCUAACUACGUGCCAGCAGCCGCGGUAAUACGUAGGUGGCAAGCGUUAUCCGGAUUUAUUGGGCGUAAAGAGAGUGCAGGCGGUUUUCUAAGUCUGAUGUGAAAGCCUUCGGCUUAACCGGAGAAGUGCAUCGGAAACUGGAUAACUUGAGUGCAGAAGAGGGUAGUGGAACUCCAUGUGUAGCGGUGGAAUGCGUAGAUAUAUGGAAGAACACCAGUGGCGAAGGCGGCUACCUGGUCUGCAACUGACGCUGAGACUCGAAAGCAUGGGUAGCGAACAGGAUUAGAUACCCUGGUAGUCCAUGCCGUAAACGAUGAGUGCUAGGUGUUGGAGGGUUUCCGCCCUUCAGUGCCGGAGCUAACGCAUUAAGCACUCCGCCUGGGGAGUACGACCGCAAGGUUGAAACUCAAAGGAAUUGACGGGGGCCCGCACAAGCGGUGGAGCAUGUGGUUUAAUUCGAAGCUACGCGAAGAACCUUACCAGGUCUUGACAUCUUGCGCCAACCCUAGAGAUAGGGCGUUUCCUUCGGGAACGCAAUGACAGGUGGUGCAUGGUCGUCGUCAGCUCGUGUCGUGAGAUGUUGGGUUAAGUCCCGCAACGAGCGCAACCCUUGUUACUAGUUGCCAGCAUUAAGUUGGGCACUCUAGUGAGACUGCCGGUGACAAACCGGAGGAAGGUGGGGACGACGUCAGAUCAUCAUGCCCCUUAUGACCUGGGCUACACACGUGCUACAAUGGACGGUACAACGAGUCGCGAACUCGCGAGGGCAAGCAAAUCUCUUAAAACCGUUCUCAGUUCGGACUGCAGGCUGCAACUCGCCUGCRCGAAGUCGGAAUCGCUAGUAAUCGCGGAUCAGCAUGCCGCGGUGAAUACGUUCCCGGGCCUUGUACACACCGCCCGUCACACCAUGAGAGUUUGUAACACCCAAAGUCGGUGGGGUAACCUUUUAGGAGCCAGCCGCCUAAGGUGGACUG